UACGUAGGGCGCAAGCGUUGUCCGGAAUUAUUGGGCGUAAAGAGCUCGUAGGCGGUUUGUCGCGUCUGUCGUGAAAGCUUGGGGCUUAACCCCAAGUCUGCGGUGGAUACGGGCAGACUAGAGGCAGGUAGGGGAGAACGGAAUUCCCGGUGUACCGGUGAAAUGGGCAGAUAUUCGGCGGAACACCAGUGGCGAAGGCGGCCAACUGGGCCAAUCCUGACGCUGAGACGCGAAAGCCAGGGUAGCGAACCGG
rnacentral:rRNA from 1 species